rnacentral:rRNA from 1 species
UACGGAGGGUCCAAGCGUUAUCCGGAAUCAUUGGGUUUAAAGGGUCCGUAGGCGGGCCUGUAAGUCAGUGGUGAAAUCUCCCCGCUCAACGGGGAAACGGCCAUUGAUACUGCAGGCCUUGAAUUAUUAGGAAGUAACUAGAAUAUGUAGUGUAGCGGUGAAAUGCUUAGAUAUUACAUGGAAUACCGAUUGCGAAGGCAGGUUACUACUAAUGGAUUGACGCUGAUGGACGAAAGCGUGGGUAGCGAACAGG